AAAAUUCGGAGAAGCGCACUCCUCCUCCCAGCGCCCUCCGAUGGACUGACAACACUCCUCCUCCCAGUUGUCAGUCACCCCUAAUGGCGCUCACCGGAUCCUCCCCGGUGGGCGUUUGGU
rnacentral:sRNA from 1 species